GUUUGGUCCUAGCCUUAACCUCAACUAUUACUUAACUUACACAUGCAAGUAUCCGCGCACCCGUGAAAACGCCCUCACCCCUUUAAACAGGACGAGGAGCCGGUAUCAGGCACAAAUUCCUGCCCAUAACACCUAGCCACGCCACACCCCCAAGGGUACUCAGCAGUGACAAACAUUGUCCAUUAGCGCCAGCUUGACUCAGUUAAAGUAAACAGGGCCGGCUAAUUCGGUGCCAGCCGCCGCGGCUACCCCGCUUGGCUCAAGUUGAUACCAUCGGCGUUAAGCGUGAUUAAAGUAACCCCCACUAUACUAGAAUUAAACUCUACCCAAGUUGUGAAACACUUGUUUUUAUGAAACCCAAAACGAAAGUUAUUCUAACCUGCUUGAAUCCACGACAGCUGGGACACAAACUGGGAUCAGGUACCCCACUAUGCCCAACCGUAAAAUAUUUAUUCACACACCCCGCCAGGGAAUUACGAGCUCAAUCUUAAAACCCAAAGGACUUGACGGUGUCCCACCCACCUAGAGGAGCCUGUUCUAUAAUCGACACUCCCCGAUAUACCUCACCACUUCUAGCAUCCUCAGUCUGUAUACCUCCGUCGUAAGCUUACCAUGUGAACGCAAGUGAGCCUGAAGAUCCCCACCCACACUCAGGUCAAGGUGCAACUAACGAAGCGGGAAGCAAUGGGCUACAAUUUCUACUAAUAGAACACACGAAAAACUGCAUGCAACACAGUAUGAAGGCGGAUUUAGCAGUAAAAAGAAAAUAGAGAGUUCUUUUUAAUUAGGCGCUGGGACGCGUACACACCGCCCGUCACCCUCCUCAAGUGCCCUCACCAGAGGAGGCAAGUCGUAACACGGUAAGUGUACUGGAAAGUGCACUUGGAUUAACAAAAUGUAGCUUAUCUAAAGCAUCCCGCUUACACCGAGAUAGAUGUCCGUGAACAGACCAUUUUGAGCCUAAAUACUAGCCCAACACAUUACCCACUCCUAUAAUACAAAAUAAAACAUUUUUACCAUUAAGUAGCGGCGACCAAAAAAUGACUAAGAGCUAUACAAAUAGUACCGCAAGGGAAACAUGAAAUAAAAAUGAAAAAAAUCUAAAGCACAACAUAGCAAAGCUUAAACCUUGUACCUUUUGCAUCAUGGUCUAGCCAGUUCAACCAAGCAAGACGCACUUAAAGUUUGACCUCCCNNNACUAAGCGAGCUACCUUAAAACAGCCUCUCAGGGCUAACCCGUCUCUGUAGCAAAAGAGUGGGAAGAUUUUAAAGUAGAGGUGACAAACCUACCGAGCUUAGAGAUAGCUGGUUAUUCGAGAAAGAGAUCUAAGUCCACCUUUAAGUUUUUUUAUUCUCAACAAAUAUUGCAUAAACUUAAAAGCCAUUCAAAUAAGGUACAGCCUAUUUGAAUAAGGAAACAGCCUCCCCCCCAGGGUAAUGAUUUUUACACGUGACUAAGUGGGCCUAAAAGCAGCCAACUUCCAAACAGCGUCCAAGCUUCAUCACCAAUCAUUAUUAAUUCCACCAUUUAUCCGCAACCCGCAACCACUAUCGAAUAACUCCAUACUUUUAUGGAAAAUAUUAUGCUAGAACUAGUAACAAGAAAAGCACUUCUCCAAAAUGCAAGCGUAAGCCAAAAUGAACAACUCACCGGCACUUAUCGCCACAUAAACCCACAGUAUUAACCUGACAAGAAAAAAUUACUGCACCAAGCGUUAACCUUACACUAGAACAUUACUGGAAAGAUUAAAAAAGGGGGAAGGAACUCGGCAAACACUAGCCCCGCCUGUUUACCAAAAACAUCGCCUCUUGACAAAAUAUAAGAGGUCCAGCCUGCCCAGUGACAAAAGUUAAACGGCCGCGGUAUCCUAACCGUGCAAAGGUAGCACAAUCACUUGUUCUUUAAAUUAGGACCAGUAUGAACGGCCCCACGAGAGCUAUACUGUCUCCCCCCUUCAAUCAGUGAAACUGAUCUCCUCGUGAAGAAGCGAGGAUACCACUAUAAGACGAGAAGACCCCAUGGAGCUUAAAACUUGUAUCACUGCCUCCACCACAUCAAACAACUAGGCAAACAAUGACUACUAGUCUUUCGGCUGGGGCGGCCACGGAGAAAAACUAAACCUCCAUGAUGAAAGGAACACCCCUAAUCAAAGAGCUACUACUCUAAGAAUCAACAAAUUGACAUAAAUUGACCCAAUAUUUGAUAACGAACUAAGUUACCCUGGGGAUAACAGCGCAAUCCAUUUCAAGAGACCCCAUCGACAAAUGGGCUUACGACCUCGAUGUUGGAUCAGGGUGUCCUAGUGGUGCAGCCGCUACUAAAGGUUCG
rnacentral:ncRNA from 1 species